ACCUGAGAGGGUGAUCGGCCACACUGGGACUGAGACACGGCCCANACUCCUACGGGAGGCAGCAGUAGGGAAUCUUCCGCAAUGGACGAAAGUCUGACGGAGCAACGCCGCGUGAGUGAUGAAGGUUUUCGGAUCGUAAAGCUCUGUUGUUAGGGAAGAACAAGUGCGAGAGUAACUGCUCGCACCUUGACGGUACCUAACCAGAAAGCCACGGCUAACUACGUGCCAGCAGCCGCGGUAAUACGUAGGUGGCAAGCGUUGUCCGGAAUUAUUGGGCGUAAAGGGCUCGCAGGCGGUUUCUUAAGUCUGAUGUGAAAGCCCCCGGCUCAACCGGGGAGGGUCAUUGGAAACUGGGAAACUUGAGUGCAGAAGAGGAGAGUGGAAUUCCACGUGUAGCGGUGAAAUGCGUAGAGAUGUGGAGGAACACCAGUGGCGAAGGCGACUCUCUGGUCUGUAACUGACGCUGAGGAGCGAAAGCGUGGGGAGCGAACAGGAUUAGAUACCCUGGUAGUCCACGCCGUAAACGAUGAGUGCUAAGUGUUAGGGGGUUUCCGCCCCUUAGUGCUGCAGCUAACGCAUUAAGCACUCCGCCUGGGGGA
rnacentral:rRNA from 1 species